GGGCUUGUGGUUUAGUGGUAUAAUACUCCCUUAGCACGUGAUGGUCUGUGAUCAUCUUUAAUCCUCACGAUAAAAACUUCGUCUGAGAGAUAUACGCAGCUUGGGAGUGGUCCGGGGUUCGAUUCCCCGCGAGUCCA